CCGACCACGGCGGAGGAGGAGAACCACCGUGACCGAGAAGGAGGCGCGAGAGACCCAGGGUGGGAGCAGUGGGAGAGGGAGGGCCUAAACCUCCUCCAAAGUGAUGCCGGAGUGAGUUUUAGUCUCCGGGGACCUCCCUUACCCCGAUCCGACCACGGCGGAGGAGGAGAACCACCGUGACCGAGAAGGAGGCGCGAGAGACCCAGGGUGUAGCCAUAUCUGCUGAAGUUCAAAUGGACCAACAAUAAGCAUAUGUUGGUUGACUCUGAUUUAUUUUUGGAUCUGAGAUUGACUUGUUACAAAGCCAAAUAUCGUGUAUUCUAGGGGCUAGAUUCGUGAUUUUCUGUGGAAGCUGUCCUUGAUAAAUCCUAACCAUUGAUGUCUCUUAAGCAAGCAUAUCUAAUUGGUGGAACAACAUGCAAAGGUCGAAAAACUGUCCGAUCGCAGUAUUUCUUUAAGUACGUAAGUAUAUUUUGAUUUAUUUCCCAACAAUUUGCCUUACUAUUACCUUUAUUGCUUAUGGCUGUGCUUUCUUCAAUCAGAUUGGCUUUUUGAUCUGUUCUUGAUGUUCAACAAGCAUCAGUACAGCUAGUCAUAUUUUAGAUUGGUAUACUAGAUUAAGUGAUUCAUGUGUUGCUGACCGGUUCUGACCAUAUCUUGAUUUGAAAGUACUGGUAGGUUGUGAGCUGGGAGGGAACCCUCUUGAGUCAUAUUCAGAUUUGCGAUGGAGCACGGGCAGGCAUACAAUGUGACGGAUAAUCGCCUUCUCAAAGAGUUGGUUCUUUUCUCUUCUUUGCGUGGCAGCUUCUCUAGCAAUAGGCGAGGAACUUCUGGAAGUGAAUUCAUAGGAUUUGGAGGCUGAUGAAAGUUUUGGGAUAAGGAUGCUAUAAAAAAAGGAGUUGCAGAAGCCGA